rnacentral:ncRNA from 1 species
UCACUCAUCCAAAGGAGAGAAGGUUAGUGCUCCCCUUGACAAAGAUGGAAGAGGCCCUUGGGCCAACAACACACAUAUAGUUAAGGCAUUGCCACCUACUUCUAACACCUACCUUUAAAGCAAGCUUUUCUU